CCUACGGGAGUCUGCAGUGAGGAAUAUUGGUCAAUGGGAGAGAUCCUGAACCAGCCAAGCCGCGUGAGGGAAGACGGCCCUAUGGGUUGUAAACCUCUUUUGUCGGAGAACAAAACCCGGGACGUGUCCCGGACUGCGUGUAUCCGAAGAAACAGCAUCGGCUAACUCCGUGCCAGCAGCCGCGGUAAUACGGAGGAUGCGAGCGUUAUCCGGUUUUAUUGGGUUUAAGGGGUGCGUAGGCGGUCCGUUAAGUCAGCGGGAAAAUUGCGGGGCUCAACCCCGUCGAGCCGUUGAAACUGGCAGACUUGAGUUGGCGAGAAGUACGCGGAAUGCGCGGUGUAGCGGUGAAAUGCAUAGAUAUCGCGCAGAACUCCGAUUGCGAAGGCAGCGUACCGGCGCCAGACUGACGCUGAGGCACGAAAGCGUGGGGAUCGAACAGGAUUAGAUACCCGUGUAGUC
rnacentral:rRNA from 1 species